AACGCACGAGACCUGCGGACCUGCGGAAGGAUCAUUACAGGACUCGCAAGACUCCUACAACCCUGUGAACUUAACUAUAAGCACGUUGCUUCGGCGGGUGUCUCGGCGAGGGUUCUCCCUCCCCGGGGCGCUAAGCCCGCCGGCAGCCUACUAUACUCUGUCUCUUUGCGUUGGCAUCUCGAGUACAAACAAACAAGUUAAAACUUUCAACAACGGAUCUCUAGAUCGGAAGAGCACACG
rnacentral:misc_RNA from 1 species